GACGAACGCUGGCGGCGUGCCUAAUACAUGCAAUUCGAACGCAUUUUCUUUCACCGUAGCUUGCUACACCGAAAGAAAAUGAGUGGCGAACGGGUGAGUAACACGUGGGUAACCUGCCCAUCAGCGGGGGAUAACACUUGUAAACAGGUGCUAAUACUGCAUAAUUCCAUUUACUGCAUGGUAGAUGGUUGAAAGGCGCUUUUUCGUCCCUGAUGGAUGGACCCGCGGUGCAUUAGCUAGUUGGUGGGUUAACGGGCUACCAAGGCUGCGAUGCAUAGCCGACCUGAAAAGGGGAAUGGCCAGACUGGGAGUGAGACAGGGCCGAGACAUCUACGGGGAGAAGCAGUAGGGAAUCCUAGGCGAUGGAGGAGAGGCGGACAGUGCAAAGCCGCGUGAGUGAAGAAGGUGUUCGGAUGGUAGAACUAUGAUGUUAGAAAAGAACAAGGAUGAGAGUGGAAAGUUCAACACAUGACGGUACCUAACCAGAAAGCUACGGCUAACUACGUG
rnacentral:rRNA from 1 species